rnacentral:rRNA from 1 species
GGCGGCGUGCUUACACAUGCAGUUCUACGCUGAAGCUUGGGUGCUUGCAUCUGGGUGGAUGAGUGGCGAACGGGUGAGUAAUACGUGAGUAACCUGCCCUUGACUCUGGGAUAAGCCUGGGAAACUGGGUCUAAUACUGGGUACUACAUUCUCUCGCAUGGGGGUGUGUGGAAAGGGUUUUACUGGUUUUGGAUGGGCUCACGGCCUAUCAGCUUGUUGGUGGGGUAAUGGCCUACCAAGGCGACGACGGGUAGCCGGCCUGAGAGGGUGACCGGCCACACUGGGACUGAGACACGGCCCAGACUCCUACGGGAGGCAGCAGUGGGGAAUAUUGCACAAUGGGCGAAAGCCUGAUGCAGCGACGCCGCGUGAGGGAUGACGGCCUUCGGGUUGUAAACCUCUUUCAGCACGGAAGAAGCGAAAGUGACAGUACAUGCAUAAGAAACCCCGGCUAACUACGUGCCAGCAGCCGCGGUAAU